UGGCUGAGCGGUAAAGCGCUUGGCUUCCAAACUGGGGGUCCCGGGUUCAAAUCCUGG
rfam:Biomphalaria glabrata isolate BB02 unplaced genomic scaffold LGTN_random_Scaffold453, whole genome shotgun sequence.